rnacentral:rRNA from 1 species
GAUGAACGCUAGCGGCAGGCCUAACACAUGCAAGUCGAGGGGUAUAAAAGAGCUUGCUUUUUAGAGACCGGCAAACGGGUGCGGAACACGUACGCAAUCUGCCCUUAUCACGGGGAUAGCCCAGAGAAAUUUGGAUUAAUACCCGAUAGUAUUACAAUAAGGCAUCUUGUUGUAAUUAAAGCUAUGGCGGAUAAGGAUGAGCGUGCGCAAGAUUAGCUAGUUGGUGAGGUAACGGCUCACCAAGGCGACGAUCUUUAGCUGAUGUGAGAGCAUGAUCAGCCACACGGGCACUGAGACACGGGCCCGACUCCUACGGAGGCAGCAGUGAGGAAUAAUUGGUCAAUGGACGGAAGUCUGAACCAGCCAUGCCGCGUGAAGGAUGAAGGCGUUCUGCGUUGUAAACUUCUUUAUUUA